UCGUCAGUGAGGUAUAUCCUUACCUGUUAUUCCUUCUGGAGUUACAGAAAAUGAUGAAUGGACAAUAUGAGCCGGUGAUUAACUAGCUCCCACCCCUGAGGAACUAACAACCCUUCAGGGUAAUUCUGAU